GCCGAAAAGAUCGGCCCGCGUCUGAUUAGCUAGUUGGUGAGGUAAUGGCUCACCAAGYCGACRAUCAGUAGCUGGUCUGAGAGGAUGAUCAGCCACAUUGGGACUGAGACACGGCCCAAACUCCUACGGGAGGCAGCAGUGGGGAAUAUUGGACAAUGGGCGCAAGCCUGAUCCAGCCAUGCCGCGUGAGUGAUGAAGGCCCUAGGGUUGUAAAGCUCUUUUGUGCGGGAAGAUAAUGACGGUACCGCAAGAAUAAGCCCCGGCUAACUUCGUGCCASCAGCCGCGGUAAUACRAAGGGGGCUAGCGUUGCUCGGAAUCACUGGGCGUAAAGGGUGCGUAGGCGGGUCUUUAAGUCAGGGGUGAAAUCCUGGAGCUCAACUCCAGAACUGCCUUUGAUACUGAAGAUCUUGAGUUCGGGAGAGGUGAGUGGAACUGCGAGUGUASAGGUGAAAUUCGUAGAUAUUCGCAAGAACACCAGUGGCGAAAGGCGGCUMACUGGCCCGAUACUGACGCUGAGGCACGAAAGCGUGGGGAGCAAACAGGAUWAGAUACCCUGGUAGUCCACGCCGUAAACGAUGAAUGCCAGCCGUUAGUGGGUUUACUCACUAGUGGCGCAKCUAACGCUUUAAGCAUUCCGCCYGGGGAGUACGGUCGCAGAUUAAACUCAAGGAAUUGACGGGGGCCGCACAGCGGUGGAGCAUGWGGUUAAUUCGASSAACGCGCAGAACCUUACAGCCCUGACWUCCCGGUCGCGGAAYUCAGAGACGAAUUCUUCAWUCGCUGAMCGAAACAGGUGCUGCAUGCUGUCGYMRCUCUGUCUGAAUGUCGGUUAGUCCCGUACCAKCYCAC
rnacentral:rRNA from 1 species